rnacentral:pre_miRNA from 1 species
AUACUACUCCCUCCGUUCGGAAUUACUUGUCUCGGAAAUGGAUGUAUCUAGAACUAAAAUACAUCUAGAUACAUCCAUUUCUACGACAAGUAAUUCCGAACGGAGGGAGUACAAA